GUUGUAGGGAGUACAGACGUGCCGUAUUGAGCUUGUCUGUCAAAGAAAGGGACUUCAGAUUCCAUCCUCUCAAGCACAAUUCUCCAGAGAUAAUUAUAUUGUAAAGAAACUAGCAUAUUGAGAAUUAAGACCCGAUGUCACCAUUUUGGCAAUACUGGUGAUGGCUCCAACUACCGAUCUGAUCCUGGGAGAUAUUGGGAAAAACGGGAAUGAAGGAGCGGGAUUAAUCGGAGAUCACACCAUCUCUUCUCCCAUCUAAGUCCUGGUGAUGUUGGCCAUGAGGAACAUGAUAAGGUAUCCUGGA